GAGAACUACGUAUGUAUACAUCAGCACACACAUAUAUUUGUAGAUGAAUUUACAUAUAUAUGUAUUGUUCGUGUGUGAUACGAUAUUCCAUAUC
rnacentral:miRNA from 12 species